ensembl:lncRNA
GGAAAUCAGUCCUGAAUAUUUAUUGGAAGGACUAAGUUGAAGCUGAAACUCCAAUACUUUGGCCACCUGAUGCGAAGAGCUGAUUCAUUGGAAAAGACCCUGAUGCUGGGAAAGAUUGAGGGCAGGAAGAGAAGGGGACAACAGAGGAGGAUGAGAUGGUUGGAUGGUAUCACUGACUUGAUGGACAUUCCACAGAAAUGGGAAGGAAAUAAGCUAAGGUAGCUUUGGAGUUGUCGGCGUGUGGACUGCUGCCUGUGUGGAUGUGGAGAGCCAGCCUCCUGGAAGAUCAUGGAGAGAAUUCUCAAAUGAAUCAAGUGGAAGGUGAAUGUUCCUGGACAACUGACAGGGGGAAGGUGUAAAGGGGAUGCCAGGGAGUCCUUCCCCAGUCCGUGCGGCCCACCCAGCGGGUGUAGGGUGCCUGCACCAGCACUCUGCCAUGAGACUUCACCACGUGUGAAUUCCAGGAGUGUAAGUUCAAGCUGAGACCAACCUUGAAACUGAAGGUGAUGAGUUCUUAGUUACUAAUGGGACUAGGAAGGUUGGUAGUGGGUUUAGAAGUCCAGUUCUGAUGGGGUGCACGGGCUGGUUCUCGCCUCUAUGUUUUGUGGGCAGUGGCCUGAGGGGCUGGGUUCUGCUGCUGCCUUCAGGACCCCCCAGGGCAGCCCAUUGCAGAAGGCCUAUGGCUGUCCCGCCAUCGCCUGGAGUGCCCCCACCACCCCUCCUCGCCUUGGACCCUUCAUGAGAG